rnacentral:lncRNA from 1 species
UGGGGCCAGUGGAGCAGUUUUUGUUAAAAUUUUCCUUAAUUUAGUGUACGUUUCAAAAAUAUUUGGUUGUUGUAUGGCGAUUAAUGAGUCUAUUAUCAUUGAGAUGUUUAAAAUUGCCGAGGUUUUCACUUUUCCGUUGAUUUUUAAGAUUCCACACAUUUUAUUUUUUUUAUCAUUAAUUUUGCGGCGUUAUUUUUUCCUUGUUUUUGAAUAUUUUUUAAAUGAUAUGUUAAUGCAAAUUAAAAAUUUCUCAUUUAUUACUUGAUAUAACGUGAUGACAUUUGUAACAAAACCACUUUUCGUUUUCUAGGGGUUCAAAUCGGUACGUUCUGAGAGUACAAUUAGGUCAUUUACACUACUAAAGAUUAUCAGACCAUAUUUUCCA